rnacentral:rRNA from 1 species
UGGCGGACUGGUGAGUAACGCGUAAAGAACUUGCCCUUUAGACUGGGAUAACAGAGGGAAACUUCUGAUAAUACUGGAUAAGUUAGUAUAUCGCAUGAUAUACAAAUGAAAGCUACGGCACUAAAGGAGAGCUUUGCGUCCUAUUAGCUAGUUGGUAAGGUAAGAGCUUACCAAGGCGAUGAUAGGUAGCCGGCCUGAGAGGGUGGACGGCCACAAGGGGACUGAGAUACGGCCCUUACUCCUACGGGAGGCAGCAGCG